GUGGGAUCAAGCCCCAGAGGCUGCUUGCCAGGCCAAGCCUACACAGCGUUAACUGCAGUGGAAGAUUGUGCUUUUAUCAGAAGCAGCUGAACACCUGAGGACAGGAACAUGGCUGAAGCAAUUCAUUUCUCCAAUUCACUUUGUUCUACUUUAUCAUCAUCAUUCCGGUAUUAUCAUCAUGUUCAUCAGAUUCUCCAUCUAAAAAAGAUUUAUCACAGUGUCUGCAUCUGCAGGCGAUACUACAAUAUAGAUAAAACCAUUGCUCCCUGCCUGCUCCGGAUGAGUUUGCAAAGAGGUAUGGUAUAGAAGAAACACUUUGUGCUUUGAAGCAAGACAAAACUGAGUUAAAAUGGCAAUCUUAGCCUGGGCAACAUAGUGAGACCCCCAUCUCUGCAAAAAAUACAAAAAUUAGCUGAGCAUGGUGGUGCAUCUGUAGUCCCAGCUACUCGGUAGGCUAAGGCAGGAGAAUCGUCCGAACUUGGGAAAUUGAGGCUACAGUGAGCCAUGAUCGUGCCACUGCACUCCAGCCUGGGUGACAGAGAGAGACCCUGUCUCAAAAAAAUAAAAAAUAAAAUUGCG
rnacentral:lncRNA from 10 species